GUGCCAGCAGCCGCGGUAAUACAGAGGGUGCAAGCGUUAAUCGGAUUUACUGGGCGUAAAGGGUGUGUAGGUGGUUUGACAAGUCGGUUGUGAAAUCCCCGGGCUUAACCUGGGAACUGCUUCCGAGACUGUUUGACUAGAGUACGGUAGAGGGCGGUGGAAUUUCCGGUGUAGCGGUGAAAUGCGUAGAUAUCGGAAGGAACACCAAUGGCGAAGGCAGCCGCCUGGGCCUGUACUGACACUGAAACACGAAAGCGUGGGGAUCAAACAGGAUUAGAUACCCUGGUAGUCCACGCCGUAAACGAUGGACACUUGACGUCGGCAUGCUCUGCGUGUCGGUGUCGUAGCUAACGCGAUAAGUGUCCCGCCUGGGGAGUACGGUCGCAAGAUUAAA
rnacentral:rRNA from 1 species